rnacentral:rRNA from 1 species
UGGGGAAUUUUGCGCAAUGGGGGAAACCCUGACGCAGCAACGCCGCGUGACCGAUGAAGCUUCUAGGAGCGUAAAGGUCUGUCGUAAGGGAAGAAAAGUUUGGAUGUAAAUAAUGUUCGAACCUGACGGUACCUUACAAGAAAGCACCGGCUAACUUCGUG